AGUCGUGGCCUUGCACUCCCUUGCCCCAUAAGUGGUCCCUACAGGGCAGGGAUGUUUGGGGGUAUCUAGACUCUCCCUAACCUCAGACAACUCAUCACUCCUUUCCAGAACUUCUGGUGCUGGUGGCCACCUGAGAUCUACCUCUAAGUUCCUGCUGCCAGACUGGCCCAUGGAACAUUCUCCCUGUGAUGGCUGUCCUCGCUGCCCAACUAGAAGCUUCUUCCAAUCCAGGCUGAGAAAGGGGCCCGUGAAGUGCUGCUGGGAUGAGGACCUGGGUCUCGUUCAAGAGCAAGGGCACACACGUCCCUGGGUCUGCGCCUAACACUACUGCGUAUGGCUCCAGGCCAAAUCUCCAAAUGAAAUCAGGCCGGGGAGAAAUGAACAACCGAGAUGCACAAAACAAUGUGAAGAAGAAACGAAUAAUAAUAUAAAAAAAAAGCCGGUGGUUGAAGCCCAAGAUGAGCCGUGGGAGGGGCUCAGGACAUGACACGAUGUGAGGGGUGGACUGCUGUGUGCCAACAGUGGUGAUGAUUGACGUGAGUAAAUCCUUGGCUUUUUGCCUAAGUGCUUCCUCCUUUGUUAUGUCAUUUCUAUCAUCACGCUCACCUUGUCAUGUAACUGGAACGGGUAUUAGUAUGCUUAUCUUAUAGAUGAGGAGUCUGGGGCUCAGGGAAGGUGAGCAGCUUGCCAGGUGAAUGAGUCAGGCUGGGCUAAUCACUGUCACAAACAGCCCCAAAAUCUCAGUGGGUUAGUUCCGUAAAAGUUUUGCAGAUAUGCCCCUCCUCAAUGAGAACUGGAAAGGAUGCCCCGCUUGAUGCAAUGUUUCUGAGACCCAGGCUCCUUCUUGGGGCUCUGCUAUUCUUGGAGUGCUUGGAGUGUCUUGACUUGGCAGGUGCAUGGAAAAAUCAAGUGAGGGGUCGAUGCAUAAUGCUUUUUAUGGGUGGGGCCUGGGAGUGGCGGCGUCACCUCUGUUCAUGUUCCAUAGGCUAGAACAUAGUCACCUGCUAUGACUACAGCAGGGAGGCUAGGGAGUGUCAUGAAGCUGUGGGUCCGGCAAGAAAAGGAGAAUGAGGGUACCAGUGAGUCCUGCCACGCCCAGACUCACACAGCCCACAGCAGUGAAAUCAGUCCUCAGACCUAUGUUCUGAUCCUGGUACUGUGCUUUUCUCUUCUGGUGCUUUACUUUGAAGUAGUAAGCUUUUUCAGUGGAGCCAUGUUCCUGGUCUUUUUCUAGGUCUGGAAGUCCUUACAUCGAUAAGAAUCCAAUGAUAAUGACAACAGUAUCUCCCUGUUAUAUGCACAUCUCAUUUCUUGUCCCCACCACCCCAUAAGUUACAUAGGAGAACCCUACCUUCUACUUGAGGACAGUGCAGCUCAGGGAGAUCAAGUAGCUUCUUUGAGGUUGUGGGAAGGUGACAGUGUGAGUCUAAGCCUUUCUGGCUCCUGUCUUCUGUCUUUCUCCCAUGCUGCUAUGGCUCCUGCUGGACGUGGGAUUGGGGUCUGAGUAGGUGGAGAGCCAGCCUUCUUAAUCCCGCAGGGCAGACGUCCCUGAAGAUACUUAAGUAGGAUGCAAAUGCAGUGGGCAAAGUUCUCACCGCCUUCU